GGCGACUUAGCCAAGCGGUCUAAGGCGCCAGACUAAGGAUCUGGUUCUUCGGAGCGCGAGUUCGAAUCUCGCAGUCGUCA